UGGUAUAUGUGACAGCAACAAUCUAAUUGAUGCUGGGUUCGUGUUGGGCGGGCACUUGUUGAACGGCCACCAUGCGCCGGUAGAGUGUGCACUCUCGAAAAAACAAUCAGGGGAAAUGCAAAGAAGACUGGAAGUGUUGUAACGCCUGAACUCGGCAGGAGCUUCGGUUCAUUAGGCGAAGCGUAUAACUACUACAAUAUGUACUUCUAGGAAAUUGGAUUUGGAAUCAAGUAGUGAUGUGACCUAUGAUUUACGGAUCAGCUGCUGAAGAUAAUUAAUAUCUUACUUUUUCAGGAGUUUUAUCAUAAUUGCCACAUGAAUGUCAAGUCAUAUACCCGUGACAGCGGUUUGUGUUCGCAGGGGAGAACAUCACUACCGAGUCAGUCACUGUGAGGCCUACAAUUCAACUGCAAAAGGCGCCCAACGAUGAGUGCCCUUCAGUCUCGCUUCCGUCCUCGACGGUGUGUGUUUGGAAUUUUUUCUUAAAGGAAAAAUGCUUUCAAGGGAUGAGGGCAUACCACAGUGUUUGGAUUGGAGGGAACAUCCUUGCAUCUCUUGAGUCGUUCCAGCAAGUUGCUAGAUGGGUGUAGAGUCAUAUACUAGAAACCGCCGCGUGGUGUGCGUGGGGGAGAACUUUGCCAGGUGGUCCUUCGGUGUGUGGCCUACUUCAACUGCAAAAUGCACCCACCGGUUGGUCCUAGCAUCUACCCUCGUGUGCACGUGGAUCUGCUACUCUUGUCGGCAUCCCCGGCGGUUGUCGUCAUGGUCACCCCGAUGAAGGUUUCUGGGUGCCAACCGUAGCCUCCCAGUGUGUGCGCAGUUGAAGGCUUUGGUUCGGUGCCCAUGGCAUCAUGCGCAUCCGCCUCCCGUCAUGCAAUAGCAGAGAUAAGCCUCCAUAUGAUGAUCACAGGGCAAGAAAUGUAAUGGUGUGCCUAGAGCAGCAGCUCCAGUUGCGGUACAAGCAAGCGUAUACAGUUCUGCGGUAUAUGCCGGCUACAAGGGCACAAGAACACCACUUGACCCCAGAUCCUAAGGAGUCUAAAUGCUCAAACUGCUGAGUCAGGCGGUCAUCGAAAGAACACAUGCAACAAUCCUAAGGUCGUCUUGCAUGUUGUGGAUAAUGGUAACCUUGACGGUCUCUGCCUGGGCGCUUAGCGAAGUUCACCGGUGGGCUCAAUCGUUCUGCGCAUCAAGUUCAAUUUUUUCCCUGUAGGGUGAGCGUUCAGUAGCCGUAACAGCAUAUCAUAAGCAUGUAAUCUGCGUAUAGUAAGGCAAGUUAUGUGUUUGUGUACCAAAAAAUGUAGCUGCCUGUGUAACAGCCGCAUCAACCCUGGUGUUGCUUUGCAUUUGGUGGAUGAACUGUGUUAUUAUUGGAUCUGACUUAGGAUUUGUUUUUCAUAUAUUUGCAUGUUGACUAUCCCAAAAAAAUCCAUGAAAUGCAGAAGGGUGAGGUUAGGUGU